UACGUAGGGGGCAAGCGUUGUCCGGAUUUAUUGGGCGUAAAGAGCGUGUAGGCGGCCCAUUCAGGUCAGCUGUGAAAACUCGAGGCUCACCUCGAGACGUCGGUUGAAACCGUUUGGCUAGAGUCCGGAAGAGGAGAGUGGAAUUCCCGUGGUGAGCGGUGAAAUGCGUAGAUAUCAGGAGGAACACCGGUGGUGUAGACGGCUUUCUGGACCGUAACUGACGCUGAGACACGAAAGCGUGGGUAGCAACAGG
rnacentral:rRNA from 1 species